rnacentral:rRNA from 1 species
AGUGAACGCUGGCGGUAGGCCUAACACAUGCCAGUCGAACGGCAGCACAGUAAGAGCUUGCUCUUACGGGUGGCGAGUGGCGGACGGGUGAGGAAUACAUCGGAAUCUACUUUUUCGUGGGGGAUAACGUAGGGAAACUUACGCUAAUACCGCAUACGACCUACGGGUGAAAGCAGGGGAUCUUCGGACCUUGCGCGAUUGAAUGAGCCGAUGUCGGAUUAGCUAGUUGGCGGGGUAAAGGCCCACCAAGGCGACGAUCCGUAGCUGGUCUGAGAGGAUGAUAAGCCACACUGGAACUGAGACACGGUCCAGACUCCUAAGGGAGGCAGCAGUGGGGAAUAUUGGACAAUGGGCGCAAGCCUGAUCCAGCCAUACCGCGUGGGUGAAGAAGGCCUUCGGGUUGUAAAGCCCUUUUGUUGGGAAAGAAAAGCAGCAGGUUAAUACCCCGCUGUUCUGACGGUACCCAAAGAAUAAGCACCGGCUAACUUCGUG